rnacentral:lncRNA from 1 species
AUUAAAGAACUGCCUGAAUUGCUGCAAUGAAAUAGAGAAAUCCUAGAUGAGUCAUUAAGGUUGUUGGAUGAAGAAGAAGCAACCGAUAAUGAUUUAUGAGCAAAAUUUAAGGAACGCUGGCAAAGGACAUCAUCCAAUGAACCGUAUAAGCCUUUAAGAGCAGAGGGAACCAGCUUCAGAACAGUUUUAGAUAAAGCUGUGCAAGCAGAUGGACA